ACGAACGCUGGCGGCGUGCUUAACACAUGCAAGUCGAACGGAAAGGCCCCUUUGGGGGUACUCGAGUGGCGAACGGGUGAGUAACACGUGAGUAACCUGCCCUUGACUUCGGGAUAACUUCAGGAAACUGGGGCUAAUACCGGAUAGGAAUCCUUGCUGCAUGGUGGGGGUUGGUAAGCUUCGGCGGUUUUGGAUGGACUCGCGGCUUAUCAGCUUGUUGGUGGGGUAGUGGCUUACCAAGGCUUUGACGGGUAGCCGGCCUGAGAGGGCGACCGGCCACAUUGGGACUGAGAUACGGCCCAGACUCCUACGGGAGGCAGCAGUGGGGAAUAUUGCACAAUGGGCGGAAGCCUGAUGCAGCAACGCCGCGUGCGGGAUGACGGCCUUCGGGUUGUAAACCGCUUUCAGCAGGGGCGAAGCUUGUGGUGACGGUACCUGCAGAAGAAGCACCGGCUAACUACGUG
rnacentral:rRNA from 1 species